GCUCGGGCGAGAUUUAAUCCUGGUUCAACUGCAACCACGCAUUCGGUUACGCUCGACCGGGAACUCAUCCCGCCCAAACCCCUCUGAACCCACUCAUUCCACGGUGGAUCCAAUCAUCGUCUCCCAACCUGUGGAAGAAAUCCCGAGCUGAGCGACAGAAACUCGCGGCGGCGCGACUAGGAGGCGACCUUGGCGUCCCGGUGGCAGCAGUGACGGGUCCUCCGCAUCUCCAUCGUCCCUCGCCCACGACGGAAUCCUGCCGCUGCGUCUGUGCCCAAGCAAGAAACGGAGAGUACGAGUUGCUGCCAAGCUGGGAUCCUUUGCCUGACCCUUGGAACCUUGGAUCUCAACCUAGUGAAGGUUAUACUACUGUCUCGCACAAGGAGGCCCUAGAUGCAGAUUUCUCAUGUGUUUGUCGUCAAUAACUUCUAAGCUAUUGUUGAAAUCCUAUUGUUUCAUUGGAUGAGCUUUGUUUUAUUUAAUGCCUGGAGUUGUUGACUGUUACUCAAAUAGCAGAAAUAUUUUGCCCCAAAGACUCCUUGUUACUUUAUGCAGAAACUAUGCAAGCCUUGUAAUUUAUUGGUGUUAUUCUGAUAAUAUUAUUGUAUUUAUUCCUAAUAUUUUAUUAAUAUCAGUAGUAUUUUCGAGAUGAUUAUCAUCCAUCUUUUUAAUGUUAGUUCGCCGAAUAUUCUAUUCUGGCCUUGUUGUUGUUGUUGUUGUUGUUGUUGUUGUUGUUGUUGUUGUUGUGCAGCAAUUUCUAAAUCCAGCAACCUUGUUUUGCUGCUACAUAACCGAACAGACAGAAAACAUCAGCCUUGUGGAGGGGAAUUCGGGUUUGCAGCUGUCGGGGAUUAGAGUGAGGCACCGGUUCCACUCACACCCCAGGCUGAUUACAUCCCUGUUGGGACGAAGGCCUGACAACCGAAAGGAGCCUAAGACAUAUUUACAAGGGCGUUGAUUGUCUUCAAAGACUUGAUUGUUAUUUCCUAUAACAACAUCGAUGGCAGAAAUCUGAAAUGGGCAGUAGAGUGGAACAUAACAGUCAUUAGUUUUUUGUGACUGAAUAUAUAUUUCGCGAUCAUUAGACUUCUAGACCCAUGUAGCUUUUUAUCUCCAGUUGCUAAGAGCCUAAGACACAAAGAAAGAAAUGUACUGUGCAAUGACAUAUAAAGAAAUCAUUUGG